UUCUGCGAUCUGAAUCGCUACGAGUGCGACUCCAUCAACCGCGUUCUAGUAAUGCUUCCGCUUAGCGGUCUUCAAAGGUAUGAAGAUGAUCUACCCCUUUGCUCGUUGGUGGUUUCUCCUAGAUAGAUCAUUGGAUGACGUUGGAUUUUUUUUGAAUUACUACUACGUUCCCGAACAGUAUGAUCAGCUCGUCAUUCCAUGGGUUCCUCUCUUUGCCAACAAACUUUUCAAUGUCCACUAACCUGAAGUUCUCUUGGACAUGGGGAAAUAAUUUCUCAUUUUCCUUGAUAUAUGCCCAGUCGACAUACCUCAUAUCACUGACAGCAGGACUC
rnacentral:lncRNA from 1 species